rnacentral:tRNA from 1 species
GUCUCAAUAGGUCAGUGGUUACAGCACUGUCACGGUAUGCCAGAGGCCCUGGGUUCGAGUCCCGGUUGAGACU